rnacentral:rRNA from 1 species
UACGAAGGGGGCUAGCGUUGUUCGGAAUUACUGGGCGUAAAGCGCACGUAGGCGGAUAUUUAAGUCAAGGGUGAAAUCCCGGGGCUCAACCCCGGAACUGCCUUUGAUACUGGGUAUCUCGAGUCCGAGAGAGGUGAGUGGAAUUCCGAGUGUAGAGGUGAAAUUCGUAGAUAUUCGGAGGAACACCAGUGGCGAAGGCGGCUCACUGGCUCGGUACUGACGCUGAGGUGCGAAAGCGUGGGGAGCAAACAGG